rnacentral:lncRNA from 1 species
UGUGGGCAUCUUCUUGUGUAGGGAACAGAACCACACAACAGUCUUAUCAACCAUUGAUAAGACAAGUAACUGCCAAUGAUGCCUAUAUGAUCAAUGAAAAGAGUUAGUAAAUAUUUAAAACAUGAAAUAAUAAUAAUUGAUGACAUAUAAUUAAACUUACUCAUUAAUAUAAGGGCAUAAAUAAAUUUGUUUUCCCUCUUUUUCCAGGAUGUUAGUGAUGUAUGCUUGAGUCUCAGUUGAGUUUGGUCCAACGGGAUUAGUAUAUGCAGGAUCUAAGAAUCCAUACAUAUUUUCCUUCCCCUCAGUGAUACAGACUCUAUGCAAAAACCUACAAGUUUUUAGUUAAAGCAUAAUCAAUAAUAAUUUAACAUAAAGUAAAUUGAAUAAUA